rfam:Ictidomys tridecemlineatus contig094845, whole genome shotgun sequence.
UGGGGUAUAGCUAAGUGGCAGAGUGCUUGCUUAGCAUGCAUGAAUCUCUGGGUUCCAUCCCCAGCACCACAA